rnacentral:rRNA from 1 species
GAUGAACGCUGGCGGCGUGCCUAAUACAUGCAAGUCGAGCGAACAGACGAGGAGCUUGCUCCUCUGACGUUAGCGGCGGACGGGUGAGUAACACGUGGAUAACCUACCUAUAAGACUGGGAUAACUUCGGGAAACCGGAGCUAAUACCGGAUAAUAUAUUGAACCGCAUGGUUCAAUAGUGAAAGACGGUUUUGCUGUCACUUAUAGAUGGAUCCGCGCCGCAUUAGCUAGUUGGUAAGGUAACGGCUUACCAAGGCAACGAUGCGUAGCCGACCUGAGAGGGUGAUCGGCCACACUGGAACUGAGACACGGUCCAGACUCCUACGGGAGGCAGCAGUAGGGAAUAUUCCACAAUGGGCGAAAGCUUGACGGAGCAACGCCGCGUGAGUGAUGAAGGUCUUCGGAUCGUAAAACUCUGUUAUUAGGGAAGAACAAAUGUGUAAGUAACUAUGCACGUCUUGACGGUACCUAAUCAGAAAGCCACGGCUAACUACGUG